UGACACUGAUUUGGUUCCUUUGGUUUCAUCUUUGCGGGACUCUUAUUAUAAACAUAGACUCUGCUAGAAGCAGAUGCAGAAAAACAACAAAAUGUUGCUUCCGUUGUGGACAGGAACAAUAUUUAAUAGUUUAUUCGCACACAUCGUUCACACUUAUGCAAAAUUUCGCCGUUGUCCGUACGAGUUAAAGUGAGCGAAAAAGAUUAUCUCUCAAUUUUCUAACAAUUUUAAAGAGGAUUUCGUGUGAGAGCGAACAAGCAUCACAUCGAACUGCAAGUUGAAGUGAUUUAGUGUUGAUUUCUCGAUGAUUACCACUUUCCAAUGAAAUGAUCUUGCGUUGAAAACUGGUUAAUGAAAAUCACCAUCGUAUUAUAAUGAAUAUCUCUUGUAUUAUCACCACUGUUUAAAUCAAUUGAAUUACAGCUGCAAUUCCAAUUGACAAACGUCAAAACCAUGAGACGAAACAAAAAUAGUGACGAUGGCGAACAGCGUAAGCAGCUUAUUUAGCCAGAGAUCAAAAAUUUAUUUGAGCCUGCUCAUGAAAUGCCAGAGCGACAGACCAAAGAAAAUCUGCAACGUGUGAUCGACGAAGAGAUCAAAAUUUUUGGAAUCGACUACAAACAGCUAUUGGCGAUCACAAGUAAUAACGGCCCGAAUAUUUUAGCAGCUGUUCGAUUUUUGAAAUCUCUAAUGGGCGAUGCCUUGGAAGGUUCUCUGGGUAGUGUUCUUCGCAAAGAAUACUCUCUUGUUAUGAACUUUUGUACUGCCGACGAUCCUGAUAUAUCAGAGCCCACUGAAACCAAACCACACGAGGAGGAAGAACACAUACCGGAAUCCGAGUUGGUCAUGAUUCCAGAAAACGAUGAUUUCGUGGAAGAACCUGCAAACGGUACUGCAAUUGAUGACUCACAGUUGGAAGACGAUCAAGAUGACCAGAUCAUAAACGUGGAUAUUAUGGAGAGCGUGAGAUGCGGAGCUCACACAGCUCAGUUGGCUGUUUGGGACGUUCUACAAGAAUACAACACUCGGCUCUCGAAUCUAAACAAAAAAUGCUUGAGGAUGUAUCUCAAAGCCAAUCGCCAACUUUUCACCUUCCAUAAAACAGCUUUACCACCGAAAACAUGCGAAACUCGAUGGAACGUAUGGUAUCUACUGAUGCGCUACCUCAAGGAAUUUGAAGUAGGGAUGGGAAUCGAAAGCGAAGGUAUCGAUAUUUGGUAUCGCGAUAUAUUGAAACGAUCCGAUACCAAGUAACAACUGUAUCGCAAUGAAAGUAUCGAUACUUCAAUAUUAUCGCAAUAUCGAAACGGGUGAACGGUCUGCAAAACGCAGAUUUUUGGAGUCCGUGUGCAGAUUUUUAGUGAUUUGCAGAUAUUUGCAGUUUUCCACGGUUUCUGCCGAUUUUUGUCUGAUUCUCCUUAUAUUUGCGCAGAUUUAUACAGACUUUUGCCUGCGCGAGCGAAAUUUUUUCGGAUCACGGGUAGAUUUUUUUUCAGAUUUCGAGCACAUUUUUCCGGUUUUCCCAGCAGUUGCAGACAUUUUUCAAAAACAUCUGGCAUCUCUGGGGUGAAGUGACAAACGAGAAAACGAACGAAACCGUGGUAGAUUUCAUUUGACGAGGCAAAUAGCGGGAGAAGAACGCUAAUACUACUAGUAUGCCAUUAUAAACUAAAUUAAACUAAACUUAAGUUGGUGUGAAGUAGCGGCAGGAAAUGGCACCGCAAGGACAAACAUUGUGCGAAUGCAACUUCUGUGGGAACAGCUACAAUGGCAAGCUUCAAUGAAACGACCAACUUGACUGAUUGUCAACAGCUACGACAGGUGGAUGCCUUUGCAAGCAAUUGAACCACACAAGAAACCUAAGCUCGAUGAAGGAACAACGACGACUGUAACUCCUGGGACGUUUGGAAUCGUGAGCAGGAAAGCAUCUACACCACUCAAACCUCGUAUGAAGCGGGUGAAUCUGCACAGUACGCAAUAUGCUGUUUUACCUGGAGCAGGAGAAAAAAUGCUGCAGAAGUCAAAUGCUGUACGGGGCCUACCUCAAGUGAUCGAUUGUGGUGCGAACAGCGGUGAUAAUCGGGGUGGUCAUUCUGCACCGAGAAACAAACGACGCUUUCGGACUAUGCUAGAGUAGUCAGCCUAUACACCAGAGAGGCGUCAAGACACUCACUGUUAAGGCAACUGUCAACAUCAAAACGGGCGAGCUGUAUGAAUUUGCAUUACCGUUAUACGUUUUGGUGUGGCAGUUGCCUUAACGGUGGGUGUCUUGUUAAUUCUCUAAUAUACAGUUUUCUAUACACAAUGCUGCAAAUCGAAACGUUGCUGAGAAUUGAACUAUCAAUAAGACAUAGGAAUUUGCUAGGAUUGUAUUUUUAUUCUGUUUGGUGUGCAAGAAAAUAAUCUACAUUUAGUAUUUAGUAGUAGAAGGCCGUGUGUAAUUUCAGACAAAAGGUUUAUAAAUAGACUGUUUUAAAUUAUUA